rnacentral:rRNA from 1 species
CCUACGGGUGGCACCAGUGGGGAAUAUUGCACAAUGGGCGCAAGCCUGAUGCAGCCAUGCCGCGUGUAUGAAGAAGGCCUUCGGGUUGUAAAGUACUUUCGGCGGGGAGGAAGGUGUUGAGGUUAAUAACCUCAGCAAUUGACGUUACCCGCAGAAGAAGCACCGGCUAACUCCGUGCCAGCAGCCGCGGUAAUACGGAGGGUGCAAGCGUUAAUCGGAAUUACUGGGCGUAAAGCGCACGCAGGCGGUCUGUCAAGUCGGAUGUGAAAUCCCCGGGCUCAACCUGGGAACUGCAUUCGAAACUGGCAGGCUAGAGUCUUGUAGAGGGGGGUAGAAUUCCAGGUGUAGCGGUGAAAUGCGUAGAGAUCUGGAGGAAUACCGGUGGCGAAGGCGGCCCCCUGGACAAAGACUGACGCUCAGGUGCGAAAGCGUGGGGAGCAAACAGGAUUAGAUACCCCGGUAGUC